GUAUACUUCAAAGGAUACUUAACUUAAACCCCCUACGUAUUUAUAUAGAGGAGAUAAGUCGUAACAUGGUAAGUGUACUGGAAAGUGCACUUGGACGAAC
rnacentral:rRNA from 1 species